CUGUAAUCUGUGACGCAAGUGGCCUAAUACGUUUGUGACGUUCCAUGGAACCCACGUUAUUGUUUAAAACUAGAUUCUGAUUGGCUUGCAGGUCAUUCUACAGUGUAAAUUAUAAAUGAAAAGUGCUUUUGUAUCAGUGUUACAGAUUCACAUUACCGAGCGUGUCUCAACCCGUGCCCCGCUUCUAUCUGCUUAAAGGUAUCUUCACGCACGACUGGAUAGGCCUUUUGGAUAUGCUUGUCCAAGACCAUCUCAUCACAAGUUGGAACUAGUGGACAAUGCAGCCAUAAAUAACAUGGACCAAUAUUUUCAUGGAGUGAGCAAGACCUGCCAGCAGAGCUCACUGGAGCAGGGAGACAUCCCGUCAUCCUUUUGGCGCCUGACAAAGUACACUUUUUUUCUUCUAAAUAACACUAUAGUAACAUCUUCUGCACAAAGUUACAUUGCUAAUAAGAUUGGUGUUAAGUGAGAAAGAAUCCUAAAGCUGGUCCAAUCGGCAGGGUCUAAAGCCUCUCGUCAUCUCACUAUGUUGAACCACCUGAUUUCUUGCAGGCUUGAGAUUCAGAUCCUGCUGAAUGAUGUUAAGCAGUCGAUUAACCACAUGCAGGGGACGCUGAACACCGUGCAGGGGCAAUGUAUUGAGUUGCAGACUGCCAUGUCUAAGGUAGUGUCAGAUGAGUCUCAGAUACAGAAGAAUAAGUCUAUGAUGGUAUGGUGAUAAUGAUUGAGAUGGUGAUUAUAAUAAUGAUGACUAGCGGUACGCCACCCUACGGGCGGUAAAUCAUUAAUUCAAUUCAAUGCAAUUCAAUCUUUGAGGACUGCAACCAUAGAAAUACAAUUUAUUUACACUAAUAAUAAGCUAUUGUCAACUUCCCGUCUAUGUUUAUCUUGCUCAUUGCUCACUGUCAAUUGCUGACUGUUACCCUAUGUGUGCAACUAUUAUUGAUUUCUCACAGAAAAAUAAUUUGAUUGCAAAUGUACCUGGGGCCAUGUAAAUAAUUGUUAGGCUACUCAUUUUGAAUCCACCGGUGGCAACUUGUGUGACCAUAAAAGUCUGUGUGCCCCUGGGCACAGUAAAAUAAUUUGGUUACUGACCUGCCCUACAUCAUAGAAGGCCCUUCAAGUCGAGGAAAUUCUGACAUUUCUGACUCGCUAACUCGUUAUGGAAUGAUGAUUUCAAGUUUCCCACUUGUGAAGUGUCAACCAGUAGGAAGCUUUACUCUAAUUUCUUACAUUCUUUUUAACUUUGAGGUUUCAAGUUUCCGAUGGCAUGUGAAUGCGUCAUUAAUUGACAUGGUAAUUUUGAAUGUUCAGUCAGUGAGCAUUAUUGGUAAUUGCCCUACAUGCUUACAUCAAAUGCUGUAGUAACAGGGCCAUUCCAAACACAAUAAAUGUGAAAUAUAACAAAGAUACAAAAUAUUGCUAAAGUGAAGAAAAUCAGCUCAAAAUUGUAGGAGGAAAAGCCCCUGCAGCAGGGAGGCUUACGGUAUUAUAAUGUAUUUUAAUAAUUUUAGAUAUUUACAGUAUCAGUACACAUACAAAUGAAAGGAUAUGCUAGGGAUUGAUCUACACUGAGUGAAUAAAACAUGAAGAACACAUUCCUAUUGAGUUGCCCCCCCCCCCUCCCUUGGUGGUGGACCAUUCUUGAUACCCAACAGCAUUGCAGUUCUUGACACAAACCGGUUCUUCUGGCACCUACUACCAUACUCUGUUCAAAGGGACUUAAAUCCUUGAUCUUGCUCAUUCACCCUCUGAAUGACACACAUACACAAGCCAUGUCUUAAUUGUCUAAAAAUCAAUCUUUAACCUGUCUCCUCCCCUUCAUCUACACUGAGAAGAAGAUUUAACAAUUAACAUCAAUAAGAGUUUAUAGCUUUCACCUGUUUAGUCUGUCACGGAAAGAGAAUAUAUUCUUAAUGUUUAAUACACUCAGUGUAUGUGUCAAUGAUGUUAUAGAUUCGAAGUGGUUGAUUUUUUAGGGAAUGACUAUAUGCUCUAUAUUAUACCUGCAGAUUAUCACAGCAGCCAAAGUUGCUGUGCAGAGGGAGGAGAUCCUCCGAGCAUCUGGCCUCAUCCCGUCACAGAGGGAGGGUAUCCUCCAAACAGCCAGUGUCCCUGCACAGAGGGAGGGGAUUCUCAAAACAGCCAGUGUCCCUGCACAGAGGGAGGGGAUUCUCAAAACAGCCAGUGUCCCUGCACAGAGGGAGGGGAUUCUCCAAACAGCCAGUGUCCCUGCACAGACGGAGGGAAUCCUCCAAAGAGCCAGUGUCCCUGCACAGAGGGAGGGGAUUCUCUCAGCAGCUAGCAUCACUGCACAGAGGGAGGAGAUCCUCCGAACAUCAGGCCUCAUCCCUGCACAGAGAGAGGGGAUCCUCUGAGCAUCAGGCCUCAUCCCGUCACAAAGGGAGGGAAAACGGAUGGACGGUUUCCCCAGGUUUAGUUACAUUAUGAGUAGUGGUGUCGUGGAAAAUUGUCUCAGAAAUAUGACACUCUUACAAGAACUUGUGAAUUCAAUAUAGACUUUAAUACAAAGUAGCAAAGCCGAGUCCUUCCAUGGAAGGACCCUAUCACAAACGUAACAGAGCCGAGCCCCUCCAUGGAAAGAGACAAAAUUCUCAUAUUACAGAGUCCUGCCUUUAUAGGAUUCUGUCUUUGCAUAACAUAUAGAGUCCCCUCCCUCUAUAUGAAAAUAGCUUCCCUUGACAUUUCUCCAUUAUUAUCUUUCCAUUCUCAGAGCUUGCUUGUUAACUCCCACAUCUGACAGCUGUAUAGGUUAUAUUGGUAGUGGGGCCCUGGUCCUAUAUGUUCCAUUCCUUAUAUAGCCAUUCUGUCUCAGCUCUUCAAAAUGGAAAGCCUAAAUUCUGCUAAUAAUGGAAAUGUAAUCAUGGUCAUGAGUUUUGCUCCCACACAGGCCGUUUACUCUGGGCACCUUAUUCAUCCAAGCUACUCAAUACUGCCCCCAGCCAUAAGAAGUUAAUUAAAAGAGCCUUUGGUUGUGCAUAGUGUAGUCUAUGGUGUUGCCCGGGAACAGCACCCUUUUAAAAGAGCCUUUGGUUGUGCAUAGUGUAGUGUAUGGUGUUGCCAGGGAACAGCACCCUCUUUGAAGAAGCUAGUUGGCUAGCUAUCUAUCUAUCUAUACAGUAUUGGAAGUUGUCUAGAUAGCUAGUUAAUAUGAAGUUAGGUAGAUGGUGAUAUUUAAUUCACGUAGCUAUCUAUCCAUACAGAACGUGAAAUUGUCUAGCUAGCCAACUAGCUAGCUCAUUUAGCAGCUCAUUUGAGUUAGCCUGCACUGUAGCUAGUUAGCUAAUAAUACAUCGUUGUUUUUUACAUUUUCAAAAUCUAUUUACUUACUUACUUGAAUAGGUUCCCCCAGCCAUGUGGACAAUUUGAAAAAGGGCAGCAAAGUUUGCCACCAGAGCGUUUUAGAGAAUAUUACUAUUUAACUAUGUACCCAUUUAAUAACCAGAUCUUCAUACAAACUUGCUAAGCUGAAUUCUUGACAGAGUCACAAUGGGCGGCCAUCUAGUCCAUCUGCUGACUGGACGCAGUUGAGAAAAAAGUAUAUUUUAUUUUCAGACAAAAAGUUAAAGGGUAGGAAGCAUAAGUUUUUACUCACCAGUGUAACAACACAGUGUGGUUAAAGACUUAGUAACUGAGUUGUAGCCACGAUCUGGUUCCCUAUAAGUACAAAUAGUUAUGUUUUUAUUUUAAAUUGACAAAAUUAAAAUGACAUUUUAAAUGUUUUCUUUACUCAAGUAUGACAAUUGGGUACUUUACCCACCACUGUAGUUUUAUAACAAUCACUUGCGUCAUGCAGCCAUUCCUCUGGGUAACCCCGCUGUCUGAAAUGCUCAUCCAGACAGUAGGCUUGUUUGUCAUAGUCACACUGUGUACUACAAAUCCUGUGUGUGCAACUGUAUUGGGUGAUGGGGAGGUUCUUUUUUAGGGGUGUAGGGUGGAAGCUGUCUCCGCAUAAAAGGGAAUUCCUGUCCGUCUGCUUCCUGUAUAGGUCUGUGCUAAAGCCACACCCCUCCCUCUUUAUCAAAAUGCCCAGAUAACUUGUUUCAUGCACAUCAAAGGUGGGGGUGAAUUUCAGAUCUUCACUGCUUGUAUUGAUGAAGGAGUGGAAUUGAUGAAGUUCCUCUGUUCCUCUUCCCCUGGAAUAGAAGGAACACGUCAUCAAUGAAGCCAUUUUCAGAGCCUGAUGAUUUGCUAGAAUGGAUUGUUAGGGCUGACAAUCACAUUCUUCUCUAACAACCCCACAUACAGAUUGGAAUAAUUAGAUGCUAUUUUUUAAACUACAAUGACCAUAAUGCACUGUGUGUCUACUUGUCUUGUCUGUUUAUUUUACACCUGCUAUGUUAAAGAGACAGAAGAAUGCAUGAUGGUCAACGCUAUCUGGGAUCCUUGGGACAUCCCUACCCUAAACCCUAACCUUAACCUUAACCAUUUUAAAUGUCAACUUCAAUGGGCUAGGGACGUCCCAAGGAUGUAUCUCUACCUGAAAAUACAUGAUCUAAGUGAUUGAUUGUUGGUAUUCAGCAGUCAUAAAGCCUCAUUUACUUUAAUGAACUACUAAAAUAGUGAUUUUGUCAGACAGCAUAGACAGCAACUCUACACUUUAUUGACUGAUUGAUCCUUCCAACCCUCCUCAGCCUUCCUCUCCUCUGAAGACCCAGUGAGGGUGGAGCUCAGUCAGAGAGCUGUUGAGGGACUGGUUAGGAAGAACACUUCUACAGCCAGAGAGGUCACACAUGGUUUAGAUGGGGCAGUCAAGAAAUGGCAAGGCCACAGAACAUGACAUAAGCAGAGCUGUGGGAGACCUCAAGCCCCUGGUAGAGCCAGAGGUGGUGU